AGCAACAUGAGUUCGAGAUCCACUACAGAAAACGUGAAAUUAAAAUUAAAUGAUGUGGAAUCUAUGAAAAAUAAUUAUUUAGAACAUUGAUCACAAAACCAUAAGAUGGUCUUGAGAAAAUAAUUUUUUUAACCUCUCAUCAAACCUUCAGGGGAAUGAUCUCUGCCAUCUUAAUUGUCAAUAAAAGCCUAUAUCUCACCUCACAUCUCCGCGAGUUAUUGAUGGUGCAUCAGGGCUGAAGAGGAAAUCUGAUAGGAGAACGCAGUGGAUCAUGAAAGAAAUGUAAGGAGCAGGGACAUCAGAUGGAGGUGAUGGGCAGAUCAAACAGGUCAUCAAAGACAGGCAAUUUGAAGAAUUUCUAGUGGGACUGGAGAAAAUCACAUGGAAGGCAUUCAAGGAAGUUGUUGAAAUUCUUCUCGGCAUCUAAAGAGCAUCAAAAUACGUGCAGCUGGUUGAAAGCAUGCUUCAAGCAUAUAAAACCAUAAAAUGCAGCAUGUCAAGAUUCAUUUUCUGCAUUCCCAUUUAGACUUCUUCCCUGCAAGUGGUUGUGCUGUUAAUGACGAGCAUGGUGAAAGGUUUCACCAGGAGACUGCGGUCAUGGAGAAAAGAUACCAGGGCAACUGGAAUCCAUCAGUGCUGCUGAAUUAUU